AAAAAUCUUCUUCCUUUUCUUCACUGAUAGUAGAACUAAAAUUGGUGUUAUUAUUCCAGUAGCCAUAAUAAAUAGUGGAAUAGAAGAAUUUGUUUCUUCUACCGCAAAACUGUCACAUGUAGAAAAAGAAGAAGAAAUGUAUAUUUUUUUACAUUUUACAAAGAGCACCGGCGGCAACAAUAAAAGAGGAAGGAGAUGAAGCAAUGGCUUCCCUUGUAUAAACGUCAAAACAAAGAUGGAAAGGAAGAAAAGAAAAAGUCUUCUCUCUUGCAAAGUCCAUGAAAAUGGCGGCUGUGACUUGAGAAAAGGGGGAAAAGAGAUUUAGGGUUUCUCUC
rnacentral:lncRNA from 1 species